rnacentral:rRNA from 1 species
CCUACGUGAGGCAGCAGUGGGGAAUAUUGCACAAUGGGGGAAACCCUGAUGCAGCGACGCCGCGUGAGUGAAGAAGUAUUUCGGUAUGUAAAGCUCUAUCAGCAGGGAAGAGAAUGACGGUACCUGAGUAAGAAGCCCCGGCUAACUACGUUCCAGCCGCCGCGGUAAUACGUAGGGGGCAAGCGUUAGCCGGAUUGACGGGGUGUAAAGGGAGCGUAGACGGCGAAGAAAGUCUGAAGUGAAAGCCCGCGGCUCAACCGCGGAACUGCUUUGGAAACUUUGUUGCUGGAGUACCGGAGAGGUAAGCGGAAUACCUAGUGUAGCGGUGAAAUGCGUAGAUAUUAGGAGGAACACCAGUGGCGAAGGCGGCUUACUGGACGGUAACUGACGUUGAGGCUCGAAAGCGUGGGGAGCAAACAGGAUUAGAUACCCGGGUAGUC